GACGAACGCUGGCGGCGUGCCUAAUACAUGCAAGUAGAACGCUGAAGGAGGAGCUUGCUUCUCUGGAUGAGUUGCGAACGGGUGAGUAACGCGUAGGUAACCUGCCUGGUAGCGGGGGAUAACUAUUGGAAACGAUAGCUAAUACCGCAUAAGAGUAGAUGUUGCAUGGCAUUUGCUUAAAAGGUGCAAUUGCAUCACUACCAGAUGGACCUGCGUUGUAUUAGCUAGUUGGUGGGGUAACGGCUCACCAAGGCGACGAUACAUAGCCGACCUGAGAGGGUGAUCGGCCACACUGGGACUGAGACACGGCCCAGACUCCUACGGGAGGCAGCAGUAGGGAAUCUUCGGCAAUGGACGGAAGUCUGACCGAGCAACGCCGCGGGAGUGAAGAAGGUUUUCGGAUCGUAAAGCUCUGUUGUAAGAGAAGAACGAGUGUGAGAGUGGAAAGUUCACACUGUGACGGUAUCUUACCAGAAAGGGACGGCUAACUACGUG
rnacentral:rRNA from 1 species